rnacentral:rRNA from 1 species
UUUAAGCAUAUCAAUAAGCGGAGGAAAAGAAACCAACAGGGAUUGCCCCAGUAACGGCGAGUGAAGCGGCAACAGCUCAAAUUUGAAAUCUGGCCCCAGGCCCGAGUUGUAAUUUGCAGAGGAUGCUUUUGGCGCGGUGCCUUCCGAGUUCCCUGGAACGGGACGCCAUAGAGGGUGAGAGCCCCGUACGGUUGGACACCAAGCCUUUGUAAAGCUCCUUCGACGAGUCGAGUAGUUUGGGAAUGCUGCUCUAAAUGGGAGGUACAUUUCUUCUAAAGCUAAAUAUUGGCCAGAGACCGAUAGCGCACAAGUAGAGUGAUCGAAAGAUGAAAAGCACUUUGAAAAGAGGGUUAAACAGCACGUGAAAUUGUUAAAAGGGAAGCGCUUGUGACCAGACUUGCGUCCGGUGAAUCACCCAGCUCUCGCGGCUGGGGCACUUCGCCGGCACAGGCCAGCAUCAGCUUGCCGUCGGGGACAAAAGCUUCAGGAACGUGGCUCCUCUCGGGGAGUGUUAUAGCCUGUUGCAUAAUACCCUUCGGCGGGCUGAGGUACGCGCUCCGCAAGGAUGCUGGCGUAAUGGUCAUCAGCGACCCGUCUUGAAACACGGAA